UAGAUGCGAGAGUAGAGCAUAUCAAUAAGCGGAGGAAAAGAAACUAACUGGGAUUCCCUCAGUAACGGCGAGUGAAGCGGGAAGAGCUCAAAUUUGAAAUCUUCAAGGUUCUACCUUGACGAAUUGUAGUUUAAAGAAGUGUUUUCUGUUGGAGUUUUGGUAAAAGUUCUUUGGAAUAGGGCAUCAUAGAGGGUGAGAAUCCCGUAUUUGACCAUUAUUUCCAACUUUGUGAUACACUUCCAAAGAGUCGGAUUGUUUGGGAAUGCAGUCCAAAAUGGGUGGUAAAUUUCAUCUAAAGCUAAAUACUGGCGAGAGACCGAUAGCGAACAAGUACCGUGAGGGAAAGAUGAAAAGAACUUUGAAAAGAGAGUUAAACAGUACGUGAAAUUGUCAAAAGGGAAGCGUUUGACACCAGUGUUGUUUUUCCGAAAAUCAAUUACGAAUGUUUUGUUUUUGAGGAGUUAUGACUUCAUCGGCUUGCUCCUUUCUUUACGAAACUUUCUUAAUGCACUUUUCGGUUAACAAGUCAACAUCAAUUUCUUUUGUUGUAAAAGGGUAUGAGGAAGGUGGCUUUCUUUUCGGAGAAAGUGUUUAUAGCCUUGUGCCUCUGCAAUCGGAGAGAUUGAGGUCUGCAGCGUAGAUCCUUCGGGGUUAGAUACGUUUGUGCUAAGUUAUAGCUUUUCAUAGACAACUUGUUGACUAUGUUUAGUCUUGUAGCUUACUCGCUGAUGCUAUUUUACCUACGCUUAGGAUGUUGACGCGCGUGUGUGCGUG
rnacentral:rRNA from 1 species